GAUCUAAUAGGUAAGAGAGAGCUUUCUUCAGUCCACCCAUGGGUAGCGAUGGGAUUUAAUUAGCUGCCGACUCAUUCACCCAAAUACUGAGUUAAAAUGGACCGGCCUGCAAAUAGUUACUCAGUAAAUGAGUGAAUGAUGCGGGAGACAAAUUGAAUCCUAAUCUUCCUGUGCUUGGACUGAAGGGAGCUCCUUCUGCUGUUAUUUUAUCAACACCUAAACUACUUUCAUCCAUGUUUUUCACGACGACCACUACCUUUAUAUAUAGUAAUAAUUUGUGGCUGAGAUAUCAAUGUAGGAAUAAUGAUCGCUUUAUUAGCUUGUUUGUUUGUUCUUCAUUGACAUUUAUAUAGAUUAUCUCAACUUCUUAAUGGCGGUGCGUUCUCAUUGUUUGACUACUACGAAAGGAAAGUUUCGUUUUUCGCUCCAGGAGGAAAAUUUUGCAGCUGUUUCUGGAGUCUAGGGCUGAGGGUUUUACUGUGAAGCUGCUGUUGCAGUUUCUUGUUUAAAGCUCCACC